AGAGUUUGAUCCUGGCUCAGGAUGAACGCUAGCUACAGGCUUACACAUGCAAGUUCGAGGGGCAGCGCCAAGGGUAGCAAUCCAUGGGGGGCGGGCGACCGGCGCACGGGUGGCGUAACGCGUAUCCAACCUUCCCGUUACUCAGGGAUAGCCUUCCGAAAGGGAGAUUAAUACCUGAAUGGUGUUCAAAUUCCGCAUGUAUUUGAACUAAAGAUUUAUCGGUAACGGCAUGGGGAUGCGUGACAUUAGGUAGAUGGCGGGGUAACGGCCCACCAUGCCCACGAUGUCUAGGGGUUCUGAGAGGAAGGUCCCCCACACUGGAACUGAGACACGGUCCAGACUCCUACGGGAGGCAGCAGUGAGGAAUAUUGGUCAAUGGCCGGAAGGCUGAACCAGCCAAGUAGCGUGAAGGAUGAAGGUUCUAUGGAUUGUAAACUUCUUUUAUACGGGAAUAAAACCUCCCACGUGUGGGAGCUUGUAUGUACCGUAUGAAUAAGCAUCGGUAACUCCGUGCCAGCAGCCGCGGU
rnacentral:rRNA from 1 species